GCCAGAGCACAUUUUGAACAACACCAUGGGAAUUUCGGAUUUUACACAGGUGGUUGGAUGUUACACUCUGGAAAUGGAAGGAAGCAUGUCUUUAUCAUGUCUUCCUUCUUUCACCCCAACUGGUCGCAGCAGAUGGCCCCGCCCCUCCCUGAGCCUGGUUCUGCCGGAGGUUUCUUCCUGUUAAAAGGGAGUUUUUCCUUCCCACUGUCGCCAAAGUGCUUGCUCAUAGGGGGUCAUAUGAUCAUAUGAUUGUUGGGUUUUUCUCUGUAUGUAUUAUUGUGGGGUCUACCUGACAAUAUAAAGCGCCAUGAGGCGACUGCUGUUGUUAUUUG
ensembl:lncRNA